GAUGAACGCUGGCAGCGUGCCUAAUACAUGCAAGUCGAGCGAACAGACGAGGAGCUUGCUCCUCUGACGUUAGCGGCGGACGGGUGAGUAACACGUGGAUAACCUACCUAUAAGACUGGGAUAACUUCGGGAAACCGGAGCUAAUACCGGAUAACAUGUUGAACCGCAGGGUUCAACAGUGAAAGACGGUGGUGCUGGAAGUUAUAGAUGGAUAUCAGCCGCAUUAGCUAGUUGGUAAGGUAACGGGUUACCAAGGCAACGAUGCGUAGCCGACCUGAGAGGCUGAUAGGCCACACUGGAACUGAGACACGGUCCAUGCUCCUGCGGGACGCAGCAGUCGCGAAUCUUCCGCAGUGGGCGAAAGCCUGACGGAGCGACGCCGCGUGAGUGACGAAGGUCUUCGGUUCGUAAAACUCUGUUAUUAGGGAAGAACCACUUUGUAAGUAACUAUGCACGUCUUGACGGUACCUAGUCAGAAAGCCACGGCUAACUACGUG
rnacentral:rRNA from 1 species